GUCUCUCCAUCUCUACUCUUUCUCUCUCUGUUCAUCUCCUCCGCCUCCCAUCUUUGACGGAGCACCUCGCUGCGGCGUUGCCGGAGAUGGAACCACAAGGACGAUAACAAAGAAGACGCUGGAUUUCUACUCUCCUUCUUCGAGUCUUUUUCGAUCUCUCUGUCUCUGUUCUCUCCUCCGCCUCUCAUCUUCGACGGAGGACCUUGCGGCGGCGCUGCCGGAGAUGAAACCACGAUGACGAUAACGAAGAAGAAGACAUGGGAGCUGGCGACGUGUGCUCGGCCUCAUAGAUCUGGCGCUUGGUAGUUGUGGAUGUCAUAGGUAUCGAAGAUUCACAACUUGGGAGAUCGCGAACGAUCGACGAAGCUCGCAACGUCUUGAAAUGAUAUAUAACAGAUUUACAAUAAGAAUUAAUAACGAAUUGAAAUGAUAUAUUUGGAGUUUAAGAGGGAAAACUUGGACUUUGCUUAUGAUAGCAUUUCAGCCUUCGCUAGGAGAGACAAUCAAGAAGCAAUUUUUGGAGCCGAAGAAAUUGUAAGACAUUAGUGUUAAGUGGACGCAAGAAACUGCUAGCGGGAUCUAACAUCAUUUUAUCAAGGUCAGUCCUCUCGGGUCAAUUGUUUUAGAAGACAAAAUUUUACCCUUAGACAGCAUAAAUGUGAAGAUGAUGCAGUAGAGAACAAAGAGGCUGCGAAGACUUCGAAUCCGAUUAUACUCUGGCAGGUGCAGGUGAGAGAUAUAAUGAAGAUGCAAGAUGAGCUCCACUCACCCAUACAGUUUUGUAUAUCUCAUUAUAUUCGAAAGAUGAUUGUAAUUGAAUUUUUGCGUUUGUUUUAGAAA